rnacentral:tRNA from 1 species
GGUUGUGGCUCGGUGGUAGAGCGCUUGCCUAGCAUGUGUGAGGCACUGGGUUCAAUUCUCAGCACCA